UUCUCAAGAAGAUAUUGGAGAUAAAGAGGCGUAUUUCUUAACCUGUAGAAAAGACAAGUCAUUUAGGGCCGUAACAAGUUUUUCUAGCUUUAAGGAGAUUGAAAGGGAACUGGAAUAGGAUAAGAUGACAUUUGAGACACAGCUUAUCAUUAGUUUUGCUAAUUCCAGAAUGGUGACUUCAGUUAAGUCUCAUAUUGAUUUUGCUAUAUCAAAAGCUUUGCUAAAAUGAAAAUGGUGUCCAGUUAACAUUAGUUUUCUUUGCAUGUAUUCAAGAUAUUUAUCAUGAGGAACAAUAAGUUUUCCAGCGUGAAGCUGGUUAGUGCUGGUUAGAGAUUUCUAAAUCUCAUGAUAUUUCUUUACUCACAAUAUAAGGGAACAAUGGGCUUUGCUUCACCUUUUCUUCUCUAUUGUGGUUUGCAUAGAUAAAUAUGCAGAGACGGCGGUGACAAAAAUACUAAUCGAGCUGAAGCCUUGCAAUCUGAUUAUGUAUUUGACUAAACUUCAGGUUAAUGACGACUGAUUACCACCGCCUGGUCGAUGCUCCCUUCCAUUUGAACUUAAUCGUUCCAAAGGAAACUCUACCACAGAGCCUUAAAUUUCCCUACACACCCUUCUGCUACUAACUUAUACAAGAAACAAUCUCAGCACAAGCAACAGGGAUCGGUAGGCAUUGGCAUAUACAUAUACGGUGCUUUGACUGCUGUCCCCCUAACUAACUCCAGAAGAUAAGCAGGCAACAACAAGAUUCAAUGACUUCUUUAUUGGAUAGUUUGGCGAGAAUCUUGAGACGAUGAAGACCAUAGUUGGGUCUACAUUACCCGCUUUUACAUAGGAUGAGUCGAAACAAGAUUAAUUACAUGAAAUUUUACGUUAAGGAUAAGUCUUCUCUCUGAAACAAAAUCUCCAUGAUUUCAACAUAGACGUGGCUGUGGAACUGACCCGUAAGUUAUAUGAUAUUGUGGAAGAUUAAAGCUAAAGAUGUGGCUCAAUGAUUGCUUCAGUUUGCCUUGCAGUGUUUGGAAACACAUUUUCAAGAAUGAGUAUUCAAAUACACCAUGGAGUCAGUACUGUUGUAUACCAAAGAACACUACGGCAUAUUAAGUAUCCGAGGACACGACCAGACCUAAGUAGUGGCGUCAUCAUGUACAACUACAUAAAAGUGAAGGACGUAAAGGCGUCUCAACCAACUGCUGACAGUCUCCCAGAUCGAAUCAAUAAGGAGUGGAAGAUGGAGAAGAAGUCUUCAGAUAAGUUCAAUCCGGAUAUUGGUGGAGAGAGCCCAAGAGUAGGAGGCGAGAUAAACGACGAGGAAGCCCCUUUGAUUACGUCCCGUUUAUCUCAUAUUGGUCGGACGCAGCUCGGAAAUCACGCCGCUUAAGAUGCCUGGUAAAAACGCAUGAUAGAAGGUUUUGCUUCCAAAUUCGUUGUUUUUUCUUUGCUACGUAAAAAGAAUCUUUGAAACCAAAAGAGAGGUGCAGCAGCAUCCGAGACCGUGUGUCCUCUCGUGUCUCAGGUGAAGAAUGUUGUAAUUGGCUUCAAAAUUUGCAACUUUAUUAAGAAAUAUAUAGCUGAGCAAAAUAGUAGUAUGAUCGAUGAUUAGCUUAAAAAACGUUAAAAAGUCACAUAUUCGUUUAUAAUGAAUUGACAUUAGAGUUAUAUAUAUAUAUAUAUAUAUAUUCUUGUGGCCUUUAUUGUUUCCACCAUCUUCAUUUUUUUUAUAAUCCAAAUAGCUCUGAGUUUUUGAUUGCUGACUGCUGAGCAUUCUUUUUUAAAUAUAUACUAGGGUUAAAUCCGCCCUACGGGCGGGUACACAAAUAUACAAAUAAUUUAAAUAUAUUUAAAAUGUUUAAUUCAUUUUUAGCUAAGCAUUAAUUUUAUUUUUUAUAUAUUUAUCAUGUUAAAUUUGUCUAUCUAUUUUACAAAUCAUAAACUUUAUUAACUCUUAAAAUCAUAAAAUAGAUUUUUUGUUUAAGUUUGUUAUAAUUUAGCUUAUAACGAUACAUCACCUCAAUUAUUUUUAACAAAACAACAUCUUUUUUUCUGAACAACAACAAAAAAAACAUCUAACAAAUAGUUGUAGAUCUAAUCUAAAUCUAAUGUUAAAUUUUCUAAGUUGCUCUCACAUUUAUACACAGUCACACACAAAAAGUAUUAUGGUAAACUAAGUUUGUCAUCAUCUACCUUUAUCGUGGAAAAUCAUCAUCUGUCGACUUAAAAGAACCGUUUCUUAUAUGUUUGCCUCUUAAAAUUUUCCGACAAACAAUAAUGUUUUUAUUUAUUUUAAUAUAUAUGAAGAUGUUUACUUAUUUUUUAUUGUAUAUUAUAUAUUUACUUAUUCUUAUAUACAAAAUAAGAAACAAUAAUGUUUACCUUGUUCUCUAAAUUAGCACAUCUCAAUUAAUUUUCGAUGAUCCUAGACUGCUUUUGUUACAAUGAAACAAUAAUGUGAUAAAGACCAAACAAAUAUUAUUAAAAUUAAUCACAUUUUUUUGACCGAGCUACGAUUCACUAAAAUAAAAGCAAGUUUAUCCACCACAAAGAAAUGUCAAGUUUAGAGAUAAGAGAGUUGAUUUUGGCACUGCAUCAGCCUCUUUAUUACAUAAUCUAGGGAUAUGAUAGAAAGAGCGAGCUUUAAAGAAGCUGCUGAAAUGGUCAAUAUCAAAGAGAAUGCCAUUACUCUCCUUGAUGAGUCUGUAGUUUGGAGCAAAUUAGACAACAUGAAUGUCUUAAAAUCGAAGAAAAAAAUAUGAACGAUACUUUGUCAUAUACUUGUGCAAUAAGUUGAUCAUGCUAAUCGUUAUCUCUAUAUACCUAUAGAUAUUAUAUAGUAAAAUUUGUAUAACUUUAUAUAUAAUUUGAUAGUAAAUGUGACGAUAACGUUUUACAAUAAUACAAUGUUUUCUAAAUUAAAUUAUUAUCCUAAAAAAAUUGUAAAUAAGAAUUAUGGUAUUAAUAUCUGAAUGAUGAAAAUCAACUGAUAAAAUAAAUCUUAAUUAGUAAAAAAGAGUAAGCCAAACCGAUGGUUACGUUUUUAUACAUGCAAUAAAAAGAUAAAUUAUAAAAGAAAAGUAAAACAUAUUUAUGGAUAUUAAUUAUUAAGUAAUUGAAUUAUUAAGUAAUAACUUCUAGCGUAAUAAUUAUAAAAAUAGAACAUAACUUCUAGCGUAAUAAUUGUAUUAGAAAAACUUAGUUAUUGGAGACUGGAGUUAAAUAUCAUAACACCCAACAAUGAUAUACGAAAAUGAUUUUUGUUUUUAAAAAUUAUGUAACUUUACACAUAAUAUAUAACCAAAUUUAGAAAACAAAUGUUAAACAGAAUGUUAAAUGAAAACAAAUUCCCCGCAACGGUUAUUUUAAAGAGGAAAUUUUAAAGAUGAAAAGAAAAAAUGGAUAAGCUAUACUGGAAAAAAUAGUAAAUUCAAGUUUGAUCACUACUGGAGCAUGAUUAAUAAUUCACUAUAGGAUUUAGGUUCCUUUCGAAGACAAAUAAUUUAACCGAUAUUUCUCCACAAUGAAUCCCUCAACAAAUUACCACAUUUUUGACAUUGAAAAAAUAUGUGGGGAUUGUUAUUAUUUUAAAAGGAUAAAACAAUUUUUUUUUAUCUUUCUUCAAACAAAAUAAUCACAAAGCAAACACAAUUAUUUACAUUUUUCCUUCUUGAACAUCAUUUUUACUUUAUGUUUAAAUUUCAGCUAAAUUAACUUUGUUACAACUAUCUGUUUUUUACUAUACUUUUAUUGAAUCGAUCAGUCACAACCAUUUAUGCUAUUUCACUUUGAACUAAGCAACUUCAAAAUAAAUUUAUACAUUACGGUCGCUAACCACUAUCAAAUGGAUUGGAAAAAAAAAUGUCAUUCUUUUUCAACUUAUUUCCAUCUUCAUGUUUUUAAACAUAUUUUAUUUAUUAAGACCAUAAAAUAAAUUAUAUAUUUAUUUAGGAAUAAAACACAUGAACCCGGCGCGUAGCGCCGGAAAAUCACUAGUACUAAUAAAUUUGUUUGUGGAAGAAAAACAGUUACUUAAAAUUAUUUGCUCGCUUCUCGAAUGUCACAAUCUUCAAAACAUCAAGGAAAAAAAAAACAUUGGUUGGUUUAAAAGAAUAAUUUCUUCCGUAAUGUCUGCCAUCUUUACAUUCAAUUUAUAAAAAUUAAAGAAAUUAUAAAAAGAAAUAUGAAAACUUUUUUAUGAGCAACCAAAAAAUAAGUGCAUGUAAAGGGAAAGGGAUUUGGUCCGCCAUGUACGACUGUCUCUUGUGACUGCGAUUAAAGAAAAUGGCCAAGGAUUCUUGUCUUCAUGUUGAAGAAUCGAUGAAAUCUCUUUUCUUUUUUUUGAAAGGUAAAAAGAAAGAUUUAAAAAAAUAUAUAUAUAUGCGCUCUCUUUUCUUUUACAGACAGUGUUUCAAAAAAAGAAAAAAAAAAUAGAGUUAAGCAACUUGGUUGAAUAUACUCUAUCGUUUCGGUUUAAUUAUCGUUGUAUCGUAAAAAUUUUGUUUCAAAAUAAAUGUCGUCGUUUUAUAAUUAUAAUGCAAAAUUUAUUAACUUUAUAUUUUAAUUUAUUUUUCUAUUGGUUGAAAUGUUUUUUUUUACAACAAGCGGGUAUUCUAUUAUUAUUUUUUAUUUUUUAAAUGUGGUUAAAUGUAUUGGUAAUGAUGUUUUUAUUUAGUAAAGUGUGUUCAAGUCUAAAAAUACAAUCAAAAUGAAUCAGAGAGAAUAUAAAGUGACACAAAAAGAAGCUUUGGAGAAGAUGAAUAGUUUUGUGUAUUUCUCAGUGACAUACGUUUACACGUACAUAUUACAUAGGGUAUAUUUCGUCCUAAAAGCCAAUGCAGAUAUUUAGGAUAGAAUUAGGUGCUGGCCGAAGAAAGGGAAAGAUUAUCAUUUAAUAGAAAACCAUUUAAAAAAAUUAUAAUAUGUAGUUUAUGCUAAUUAAAAAAGUACAUUGCUGAGUUAUCACGUAAUUAGAAUGAUAAUUUUGUUUAUGUGACGGCUUGAAAAUCAAUUGAGAAUUUUCUUAGUUCAAAAUUAAAUUUCUAGGGAAUGUUAUAUAUAUAGUAUGUCCAUUAUGGACCAUUCAUUUAUCAAAUUGAAAUUAUUAUAUACCAUUUCCUUAAAGAAAACCUACAGAAUUACCUAUGUGAUUAGAUAUAUAUAUGAAAAUUAAUUAUUUUAAAUAAUAAACAUUUUCUAACAUUCUGUAUAAUUUCUAUCAUUUUUGUUUAAUUAUUUAUUAUUAAAAUAACUUACACAAUUACAUUAAUCAUAUAAUAAAAAUUUAGAUUUUUUUUGUAGAUGUUGUAUUUUGAAAUUUUCAAAACGAGUAUAAAUUACUAAAACUGUUAAAAGUCUAACAUAAACUUUUAUGAUCAAGGUUUAAAUUUUUUUCUAUAAUAAGAUACAUUGAUUAUAAAAUCAUAUGAAUAAAUAAUUUUAUUCUAACAGGUGUUUAAGUUACUAUAUAUAUAUUUCAUAUCGUUUAAUUUAAACUAUACAUCAUAUGAAAAUACAUACUUAUAUUUUGAUAUCUGCGUUGAACAUAUAUUAAAAAGUUACUAUUUUAAUUUUGAAAUCUUUACUUUUUUUAAAUGAUUAUAAAUUAUUGAAACCACUAAACAUUUCACAUUUAAAUUUUGUUACACAAAUAUGCAAAUAAUCAUAAAAUCAUAUGAGUAGAAACCUCAUUUAAUAAAUAUCCUUAUUAAAAGUAUAUUAUAUAUCUAUAUUAAUAUAAUUUAAAUUAGUAUAUACCAUAUACGAUAGAUAAUAUUGAUUGUUUUAAUUUAUUUACCCUAAAAUGAUUACGAAUAAACAAGAGAGGUCGUUUGAUUUUUAUGUGCACAUCAAUUUAUUACAUAAUAGUAAUUGAUUUCUUAGUUAUUUAAUAUAUAAUUAUUAUUUUAUUAUUUCAUAAUAUGCAUAAAAACAUAAAAUAAGUAAUAAAUAUGAAAUAUUUAUUAUGCACAAGGUGUGGAUCUUAAUCUAAGUAUGUAUCUCUUUAAUAAUUUUAAAUCUUAAACAUUUUCUAAAUCUCAGACCAAACAAAUAAAACGAAAUGAGAAUAAAUUCAAAAACCAAUAUUUAUAUCGAGCAAUAACCAAAACGAUACAAAAAUAAGAAAAAUAUUGAAGAUAGAUAGGAUUGGCACAUGAACAUAAACUUCUAAUAAUCACAAUUAACUUUUAAAUUGCUAAAUUAUGAUAUAAAACCGAGCUCACAUAGUUUCAUUGUAACCAAAUAGUAGGCCUGAGAUUCUUUAGCCUAAACGUUAGGUUCUUAUGCGAUAAGUGAUUUUUUGACUUAAAAUAUUUUUAAAAAUGAGAACAGCUCAUCAGUAAACAAAUUAUAUAAUUAAGAAGAAAGUUUUUAAAAAAUUAUUUAAGGGCUAAAAAUAUUAAUUCGAUCAAGAAUACAAAUUUUAUUUUUCCAUACAAUAUUUUAAAAUAAUUUUCAUAUAAAUUUACCAUGCGCAGGACACAUAUUUUAUCCUAGUAUUGUAUGAUUUGCUAAACUUACGGGAUAUGAUAUUUCAUUAAUAUAGUUGACAUAUUGUAGACUAUAUUUGUGGUUAGACCCGAAUAACAUACAAUAAACACUUCUUUUAAUUCCUAUACAGUGACAAAGGAUAAACAAUUUUUAUCACACAUAAAAUGAUAAAAUGAUAAAAUUUCAUACUCAUUUUUAUUUGUGUUUUUCGUUUUCCAGUUUAUUCUGAAUCUCACCAAACAUUGCAAGACUAUAAUAAAUUAGGUAAGUAGGUGAAAAAAAGGUAAGUACUUAAUUAGCAUGUGCUUUGUAGAGAAACGUUUCUCACAAUAGUCCAAGUAUGCAUGAACCAAUGCAAUUCCUUCAGAAUCUAAAUUAAGAGCUUUUUGUCUAAUAAUGAAGAGUCAAUAAAAGACAACUACACCUUUUUAUUACAUUAUUGUGAUAUUUAUUAUGCAUUUUAAAGGAGGGUAAAUCCCUUAUCAUAUUUCAUAGACUAUAUAUGUCAAAGAGGAAAAUGACUAAAACAGAUUUUAUUAAAAAGUAAAAAUAACCAAAGUACACUAAAUAAUAAUACAAUAAAUAAAAUUAAAUAAUUUUAAAUUUUUAUUUCAAAUUUUUAUAUCCUAAAUUCUAAAUUACAGAUCAUAAACCCUAAUUCCUAAAUCUUAAACCUCCUUCCCUCCCCACAAAUCUAAAUCUUAAAUUUAGAUUGACUAAUCCAAGACUUUUUUUUAACUAAUCUUAUAUAAGUGUUUAUUUUCUCUUUAACAAAAUUUAUAAUUUUUUUUUAUCUCUGUGCUAAUUUAUGAUUUGAAAAAAAAAUUUGAGAGCAAAAAUCUCUAUAUUCGGAGUUAUAGAGUUUCUUUUGGAGAUUAGAGCAUCUCCAAAAAGACUCUCUAUUUUAUCGCAAAGCUCUAUAUUUGAAGUUUCAAUGUGUUCUUUUCCAAAAGCAAAACUUCAAAUUUUAAUUUUAAAAUUAUUUGUAAUUUACAGUAUGGUUCUUAUAUUUGCCAUUAUUAAUAUAAAUCCAUAAAACUUAUAAAUAACUAGUACGUAUAUAAAAAUAUUACAGUAAUAUUAAUUAAUAAAUUCAUACAUUAAAAUAUAAAAUUUAUAAAUAGAAAUACAUAAUUAAAUAUUAAAGUACAAGUAAAAUAUCAAAUUAUUUCAUAAAAUUAUUUUCGUAAUAUUCAUCUUCGGUUACACAAUAUUUGGUUGGCCAAUACUUUAGAGGCUCCAGAGAAAAUUUACUAAACUAUUAGUGUUGUUGUAAUAUUUAAAUUUGUGCAAGAAAUAUGUCUUCGUGUAUCUUUGUAAAACGUUUUUUUAUUAAUUUCCUUUUGUAAUAUUAGUGUUCUCAAAUUUUAGUUUUUAAAUAUUAUAAAUAUUAUUUUAAUAUUUUUAUUUAAUUUUAUAUGUAAAAUUUGAAUUUAUAAAAAUAAAUUUGUAAUAUUUAUGGUAUAUAAAAGUUAUAAAGAUUAAAACAAUAAAUAAGAAAAUACUUAAGAAUUAUACAUAUGAUGUGUAAUUAAUUAUAAACACCAAAAUGUAAAUAAAAAGAUGAAAUUUCAAAUUUGGAGUUUUGAGUAGUGAGACUUCAUAUAUGAAGAUUUUUUCCUUACAAUUCUAAAUUGAACAAAACUUAGGUUCACCCCCUAGGGUGAACUUUUAAAUUCACCCCACCUUUUAUGACCAAUAAAAGUGACACAUACUUUAUUAAUUAAAAAAUAUUAAAUUAAAUAAAAAAUAGCUACAAAAAAUAAAA